rnacentral:rRNA from 1 species
GAUGAACGCUGGCGGCGUGCCUAAUACAUGCAAGUCGAGCGAACGGACGAGAAGCUUGCUUCUCUGAUGUUAGCGGCGGACGGGUGAGUAACACGUGGAUAACCUACCUAUAAGACUGGGAUAACUUCGGGAAACCGGAGCUAAUACCGGAUAAUAUUUUGAACCGCAUGGUUCAAAAGUGAAAGACGGUCUUGCUGUCACUUAUAGAUGGAUCCGCGCUGCAUUAGCUAGUUGGUAAGGUAACGGCUUACCAAGGCAACGAUGCAUAGCCGACCUGAGAGGUGGACCGGCCACACGGAAACUAGGCCAGGGCCCAGACUCUUACGGAGGGAGGAGGUGGGAAUUCUUCCGAAAUGGGGGAAGGCUGAACGGGGCAACGCCGGUUGGGUAAGGAGGGUCUUCGAUUGGUAAACCCCUUUAAUUGGGGAAAAAAAUAUUUGUAAGUAACUGUGACCAUUUGACCGGAACCAAAUAAGAAAGCCCCGCUUAACUCCUU